rnacentral:rRNA from 1 species
UACGAAGUGGGCUAGCGUUGCUCGGAAUCACUGGGCGUAAAGGGUGCGUAGGCGGGUCUUUAAGUCAGGGGGGAAAUCCUGGAGCUCAACUCCAGAACUGCCUUUGAUACUGAAGAUCUUGAGUUCGGGAGAGGUGAGUGGAACUGCGAGUGUAGAGGUGAAAUUCGUAGAUAUUCGCAAGAACACCAGUGGCGAAGGCGGCUCACUGGCCCGAUACUGACGCUGAGGCACGAAAGCGUGGGGAGCAAACAGG